rnacentral:rRNA from 1 species
UGGGGAAUCUUGGACAAUGGGCGCAAGCCUGAUCCAGCCAUGCCGCGUGAGUGAAGAAGGCCUUCGGGUUGUAAAGCUCUUUUACCAGGGACGAUAAUGACGGUACCUGGAGAAUAAGCCCCGGCAAACUUCGUGCCAGCAGCCGCGGUAAUACGAAGGGGGCUAGCGUUGUUCGGAAUUACUGGGCGUAAAGCGCACGUAGGCGGAUUGUUAAGUCAGAGGUGAAAUCCCGGAGCUCAACUUCGGAACUGCCUUUGAUGCUGGCAAUCUAGAGUCCGGAAGAGGUUAGUGGAAUUCCCAGUGUAGAGGUGAAAUUCGUAGAUAUUGGGAAGAACACCAGUGGCGAAGGCGGCUACCUGGACGAAGAUUGACGCUGAGGUGCGAAAGCGUGGGGAUCAAACAGGAUUAGAUACCCAAGUAGUCCCUGAGCGGGCUGGCAAGGCGCAU